CCUCCAGGCUCAGGGGGGGGGGGACCGGCUGGGCUGCCCUAAAUCCGCCUCUGCUUGGGAGCUGGAUCUUCCUCACUAACACUUCUACCCCACUCCAAAUCUGCCUCGGGGCAAAGAGGAGGCGCCACUGGUCUCUUCCCGCCUUUCUUCGCCAUUUCAUCUUGAUCCCCCAACAAUCUCCAUUCUUCCCUGGGGGGGGCAGUUUUGGGACUCGUCUCAGGGGACCAAAUGUCUUGGGCCGGCCCUGCUGACCCCCCUCCAGGAGUAAGUCUGGCCAAGGUGGCUGGGACUUCAGCUCAGGCAAAUGCAACCCAGGGAGGAUUUCACCCUGAAGCCUGUGCCCCCUUUUCAUCUUUGCCUCCUUUUCUGAACCUGCCCCUGGGAAUUCGGCUGGUGUUUCUCUCCCUCCUCCAUAAGGAAAGCCCUGAGGGCCCUCACACUAGCAUUCCUUGGGUGGUUGCCAGAUGUUGAGGGGUGAGCACUAAAUGGUGACCACCACAGCACUGUCGAAAACGAGGACACAGAUAUCAUUCAAUGGGUCUGUGCUAAUUUAAGGUACCAGCUUGGAAAAGGCAUUCUUGGUGCAAGGAUCUCCUCUUCUAAGAUGGCGGGUGACCUUGAAUAUCCAAUGCACCGUUUUUAAAAGAACGAGGAAGCUACCCCAAAGUCGGAGGAGAUAGAAGAAAAAGGACCGUUUUCACCCCUGCCCAAAUCGAGCUUUUAAAGAAGGAGUUUGAAGAGA